GCCUGGCUGGCUCAGUCAGAAGAGCAUGGGACUAUUGAUCUUGGGAUUGUGAGUUCGAGCCCCACGUUGGGUG
rnacentral:tRNA from 1 species